GUACACUCCUACGGGAGGCAGCAGUGGGGAAUCUUGCGCAAUGGGCGAAAGCCUGACGCAGCCAUGCCGCGUGAAUGAUGAAGGUCUUAGGAUUGUAAAAUUCUUUCACCGGGGACGAUAAUGACGGUACCCGGAGAAGAAGCCCCGGCUAACUUCGUGCCAGCAGCCGCGGUAAUACGAAGGGGGCUAGCGUUGCUCGGAAUUACUGGGCGUAAAGGGAGCGUAGGCGGACAUUUAAGUCAGGGAUGAAAUCCCGGGGCUCAACCUCGGAAUUGCCUUUGAUACUGGGUGUCUUGAGUAUGAGAGAGGUGUGUGGAACUCCGAGUGUAGAGGUGAAAUUCGUAGAUAUUCGGAAGAACACCAGUGGCGAAGGCGACACACUGGCUCAUUACUGACGCUGAGGCUCGAAAGCGUGGGGAGCAAACAGGAUUAGAAACCCGAGUAGUCC
rnacentral:rRNA from 1 species